GCGAUGGAUUUAACAUUCUCAGCUAUGUGACUUCAAAAGCUCUGGGACUCAUUAAAAUAGUAACCACAGUAUGAACCAUGCCACAGUGUUGCACAGUUGCAGAUGAGCUGGUUGCAAGUCAUCCAAAGCUGUUCGAAGGAAUUGGCAAAUUAAAAGACUUUCAGGUGAAGCUUCACAUAAACCCUGACGUCAGACCUACAUGCCAACCACAUCGCAGUGUGCCAUUCCACAUCCGCCAGAAGGUUGAGGAUGAGCUUCGGAAGCUAGAAGCAGAGGAAAUCAUCAAGGAGGUUGCUGGCCCGACUCCUUGGGUCUUGCCUAUCGUCGCACCUCCAAAGCCAGAAGACAAAACAAAGACAGACUUUGUGUUGACAUGAGGCAAGCUAACACAGCCAUCACGUCACUCCAACCAUAGAUGACGUGAUACAUGAGUUAAAUGGAGCGACUGUGUGUUCCAAACUGGAUCUGAGAGCUGGAUACCAUCAGCUGGUGCUUCAUCCGGACAGCAGUGAAUGAAGGACGAUUCAGGCACUCCCACAGCUUCUGCUUUAUGCGUCGUCCUAGAUCCAGACUGUGUGGACGAAGACAACCAUCCUUGUACCUGCAGAAGGGACCGAAAGAAAGCUUGAUAAAUCUGCUGGUACUCUGGCACUGUAUAACCAUGGAUCAUCAGUGGACUGUCGUCUGGAGGAGCUGUGGAGGGCUGGGUGCUGGGGACCACAGACCGAAGCCCGCUCAGCAGGUGGAAUCGUGGACUGAGGCCUCUGGACCGGAGGAGAAACAACAGCAUCAUGGGUGGAGUGCUGAGGAGCAGGAUCCCGAGUCAGCUCUGCAAGAUGCUCUGAAGAAGAGGGGCGUGCCACGGAGGCCUGCUCCCUCUUCUUUCUGGAUGCAGGAGAUGAGUGACGGGGAUUUGAAUCCUGGAGAGAGUUAUAACAAAUGAGAGGAUGUUAGUCUCCAGUAAAGUUCUCAGCAACAGAUCUCAACAAUUAAAAAAAAACAACUGGAUAAACAAGUGGAAAUGAUGAAGCUUCAAGUAGACAAUCACAUCGGGAUUCUCUGUCAAGGUACACAAAUCUGUAUUUUUUCUCAAAGUAAGAACAUCUAAUGUCUUACCUGGUUGCUCCUGCAGCAUGAGCAGGGAGGGAAAGCUUGGGGCUUUCUCUCUGCACGGUGUGCAGAGGCUCUCCUGGUCUGUUUGGGAUCCUGAAGCUGGCGAGGAACAUCACACUUCAACAGAAAACACGUGUUAGAACAAAGCUUUGAUACAGUAAAACAAAAACUACAUUUAAUGAUCUCAAGUAACCUGCACAAGUUUGAGCAUCUAUAAGAUGAGUGUUUUAUCACGCGUUGAUGGCCUGUUAGUCCUUUAAACCCAUCCAUGGAGUAGUUCACCAGAAACAAAAUGAGCUGCUGGAUCACUCCAGUAUGUUCAGAUUUCAUGUGUGGAGAUACUAACAUGCUACAGAUUCAAUAUGGUGGCUCUAUAAAUGUUUGAAUUAACAAACAUUCAGAUGUUAGACAUAUAAGGGAACAAAAUAAAAGUUUUCAUCUUGUUUGGGUCGACAAAAGCUAUUGCAAUAUUUUUAACAUUACAUUUUGUAAAAGAGGUUCUAUUAAAGUCGGGGCCUGGGGUCAGUUUGGUUAGCAAAUAAGUUCAAGUUUUACCCCUAGUCACACUGACAUUUCUGAUAUAAUGCUUCAUAGCUCAGCUCUGAGUUAAAUUGUUGAAAAUAUAUUUGUAGGCUAUAUUUAUUAGAUCUAUAAAAUAAAACAUUAUUGCACCGCAGGUAAAGAGUGAAAUUCACCGGAAAUCGUCGAGUGAAAGUAGUGAAAAACUUUUUCUUGCUGUUUGAGGUUCAGUUUGUUUGAAUAAUAUCUCGAUAUAAAGAGGAACCAUGGAAAAAAAAGAAUGCGUCAGAACCAGGAGAACGUGGGGAUGCGCACACACUUAUCCAUCAACAUUACAAAGACCAAAUAAACACAAUUACUGACAGAUGCAUAAUUUCAAAACACCUCCAAAGUGUGGUUCAUCAUAAUUUUGUAUAAAAUGCAAAAUCAGUUUCUAAAAGAUCGAGACAGAGUCCGCGAUGGGUUACAUUAGUGAGCGUGACCUAUGAGCGCAGAUCAUUAAAAAUUUCCAAACUGAGGUUCCCUUUUUUCACUCAGUCAGGACUGUUGAUAUAUACUUCUAAAUGUAUGUAAUAUUUAUAUCAAUAAAUAGCUGCAUGAUCAAUAUAUAGGUGUGUAUAUCGAGGGAGGGGCUGUGUGUAAUUUAAAGCUUGAUCCAUAGACGUGCGUAAUUUACGCAUUUGGCACAGCCGCGUGAUCUUGAUUCGUCAAUAAAUUUACUGACACGACUACAGGAUCUAUUCAUACGGUCACAUAACUCAAACUUUAGCGUAAAAAAAUAAGAUGGAACUUUGUUUCCGACUUCAUGAUAUAUCCAUCUCCAUCCGAGCUGACGAUACAUCUUUAUUCAACAGAAUCUGAUGCAGGAUUGAAAUAUUUGUUUUAAUCCUGCCAAAUGUUAACUUUAUAAAUUAAUAGUAAUGGUAAUUAUAAUAGUAAAUUAAAUGCAGCCAAGAAAACUGAAGUCACGAGGUAGCCUACAAUAAUCCAAAGUUUGUUGCAACCUGACUCUGCUGACUGACCCUGCUCUGAUAGACAUCAACAUCGAGUCAGUGUCCUGACUUUCAUCGUCCUCAAAAAUAUGUUUUAAAUAAAAUCAGACACCUUACAUUUGUGUAGCAUAAAGUCACAAAAAAUGCAUAAGUGCUGUCCGUAUUUAGGUUUUCAUUAAUAAUGAGUUUUAGGUUUAGGAGAAAGCAGAUAGUAGAAAUCAACCUUACAUUAAAUAUCCUGUAUAUAUUUUUUUGUCAUCGGAAUAUCCUGUUUGAUUAAAACUUUCGAUACAGGACAGAAACUCAGAGUCAGGUAAUAGCGUAAAUCCCCGUCUGUAUUUUAUAAUUGGUGAAGGAAAAUUUCAGUUAAAGGACCAAAACAAAUUCAGCCAUUUACUGACACAUAAUCAAAGACAAUAUCACCUUUAAGAAACAUCAGAAAAAUGUAAAUGUAGAGCUUAUUUAAUUCUAUCAGUUCCCAGCCUAUCACUGUAUAUCGGUAAAUUAAACUAUGUACUACAUUUGCAAAAUAGACAGCAUACUUAUUUUGUUUAAAGUCUUUUUCAUCCUUCAAAUACAGAAAUGAUCAGAUUUAACAAAUUAAUCUUGUAUACAGUGUAAGUUGGCUAUGUCAUUACAAUCUGUAAGCAGCAUGAUGCCCUCUAUCAAACCCAAAAUACACCAUCACACUGCUUCUCUGGUUCUUAAUGAUGUGGUUAUCCUAUCACCACAGCCACGCCUGUUGUGUUCUUUUUUUUAAUUUGCUCCUGGAUUGAUAGGUCAGGCGGAGAAUACUGUACACUGUAAGUCUGCCCUCUGCUGGACCACAAAGCACACUACUGAAUACACCUCUACCUGCCUCUGCAGCCUGUGAGCGACUGUUAAGCAUUGCAGGACUUGUCUUCAGCCCACGAAGAGCACGAUUGAACUCUCGCAAUUUUGAAAAACAACUUCUGCUGAAGAUGAACCGCAAA